GCUGAAAUUGCCGUCUGUCCUGUGGCAUCUGACAGCUACUAAACUGAUGAGGCUGAGCAGAAAGAUGACUGACACCGCCACAAUGGCGAUGAGCAGAUAGAGGUUCAAAUCAGAGAAGCUGUCCUCCUUUAUGGGCACAUGUCUGAACUGAGUG